CUUCUUAGUUAAUGACUUAAUGACUUAAUUCUUUAAUCUUAUGUAUUUUUUAGGUUUGUUGAUUAGGUGAUUUUGAUUCAUAUUGAUGGAUACUCGAUCAAUUAUUAUUCAUUGAGGAUAAUGACUUCUAGUGCAUCAAGUAGGCCAAGUGAUCCAUUUUGGAAGUGUGGAUCUUGUCCAAAUCCCCUUGACAAGAAUAGGGUAGGGUGCAAGUUUUGCAAAAAAACAUAUAAUGUCAGCAUCAACCAAAUUGAAGAAGCAUUUAACCGGCAUUAGAGGGGAUGUGGCCACAUGCACUCUAGUGCCUGCUGAGGUGAGAAGAGAGAUUCUGGAGAACAUGGAGGGGGUGAAAACGAAGAAACAGAAGGUGAGAAUAAGACAUGAUGAACUUGUAAGGACUGUAGAUGUUUUGGAGUUUGAGGAGAGGAAGAAGACUUCUAUACUGAGAUUGGUUAUCUAGUAGGCUAAGAACAAGAGGGCCUAUGAAUGCUUUCUUCCCCCGCCCUGAUCUUGAGGUACUACCACGAGAAAGAGGUCAAACAAGCUUAGAUACCCAUUUUAAGAAGGAAGAUAGAGAUUAAGGUCAUCCAAUAUGUGGGGAGGUGGUUGUUCCAAGCAGACAUUUCUUUUAAUGCCGCUAACUUGGUAGCUUCCAGACUAUGUUGGAGCAGUGGGCAAGGGUUGAGGGCUCCAUUUGUUUAUGAGCUUAAAGAGAAGUGGAGCUAAAGAAUAACUAUUUGAAGACCCACACUGAUGCAUGAGGUGUAUAUAAUUGCAUAGUCAUGACCGAUGGCUGGAAUGAUAAGAGGCACAAAAGCAUCAUAAAUUUGAUGGUGAGUUGUCCAUUAGGGACAAUGUUCAAGAAGUCUAUUGAUGCUUCAGACAAGUCCCAUGAUACAAAGUUUAUUUUUAAUUGGUUGACCAAUAUAUAGGGGAGGAUAAAGUGGUCUAAGUUGUUACUAAUAUGUAUUUGGCUAAUAUGGUGGCCGUUAGGUUAUUUACAGAUAAGAGGCUGCGUUUGUUCUAGUCCCCUUGUGCAACACACUGCAUAGACCUCAUGCUUGAGGUUAUUGGUAAGAAGAAGACGUUCGUGACAAAUAUGCAAAAGGUAAGGAAAGUCACAAUUUAUUUGUACAGUGACACUCAAAUAUACAUUUUAGUACUAUACUAUGUUUAUGGUAUUAUGCUUAGCUAUUUGCUACUUAUUUUGAGUCUUUUUAAUGUAUUGAUUUAUUGAGGGUAAUUUACUUAACCCAAGGAAUUCUAUGUUGGUCAGGUCCUAGCUAUGCUAUGAUGAGGAAGUUUACUGAGAACAGAGACUUGAUGAGGCCUGGGGUGACUAGAUUUGCCACCUUGUACUUGUCCUUGCAAUUUGUAUUUGAGCAUAAGGAAAAAGUGAGGUUCAUGUUUGUGUCUAAGGAUUGGACCAAGUCCAAGUGGUUGAGGAGAGCUAAUGGAAAAGUUGUUAUGGACAUUAUCAUGGACUCAAGAUUUUGGAACAAGGUCCAGUAUGCCUUGUUAGUCGUUUACCCCUUGGUAAAGGUUCUCAAGAUGGUUCAUGUUGAGAAGAAACAUGCUAUGGAGCAUAUCUAUAAAGCCAUGGAGUAUGCAAAGGAAGAAAUCAAGAGAUCUUUGAGGGAUGAAAGAGGUAUGAGGAGUUUUUGAAGAUUAUUGAAGACAAAUGGAACUACCACCUUGAGAGGCCCCUACACUUAGCAGGAUAUUACCUUAACAUUGCUCACUUUUACACUGAUGCUGAGGUACAUAGCAGCCCUAAGUUCAUGGAUGCUUUCGAGCUCCAACCUGAUCCUAAAGUGCAGGAUAAGUCAAUGAUGGAGUUAUAUUUAUAUAGGCUUGCUACUAGAUCUCUAAGUAAGGAGGUGGCUGUCAGGCAAAGGUCCAAGAUCCCUCUUGGUGCAUGGUGAAUGGGCCAUGGUGGAAGCACCCCUCAUUUGAGGCAGAUGGCCAUGAAAAUACUAAAUCAGACUUAUAGCUCUUCUGGAUGUGAGAGCAGCUUCAACUCCUUUGAAAUCGUGCAUACAAAGAAGAGGAACAUACUAGAGAAAAAACGACUGAACGACCUAGUCUUUGUUCAGUAUAAUCAAAAGUUGCAAGAGUGCCAUUGACAGCUAGAGCACAACGAAAGGGAGGCCAUUGAAGCUUUUGAUAUUGAUGACACAUGUGAGUGGCUGGUUGAUACCGAUGACGAUGAGGUAUUCCCUGGAGAGGGCUUGACCUGUUGUCAGGUUCGCAAGGCUUCUGGGACAUCAAUCCCCCUUGUGCGUACCACUCGGGCUCAAUCUCAAAGUCAAUGUCAAAGCUAAAGGAAGGGGAAGGAGAACGCCCAGCAAGGGAAGGCAGUGGCGAAGAAGAGGAAGAGGGUGAUGACAUCAAAAGAGGAUGAUGAAGAGGAAGAAGUAUUUAGAGGAGACGAGGGAUGAUGCCCAAUAUGUUAAGGGCGAUUAAGUGUUCCUCAUGAUGCACUUGAACACCCAGCGUGGUGAUGCGGUGGCUGCCAUAAAGUUGUUUGGUUGAUGACUUGAUGUAUUUGUUUUUAGUUUUUGCAUUGUUGACUUUGUGUAUUGUUUCUAGUCUAGCCUUCUAGUUUCCAACAAUGACAUUUGGGAUUUCAAGCAUUUUAAUGUCUUACAAUCUCUUUGAGACUUGUAUCCAUAAUUUGUUAUGUGUGUGAUUAUAAUAUUAUGUUUUCGUCUA